AGAAAAGUAGGUGCCGCCCCGCACAGGGGCGACGCUAGCAAACCGAUACGAAACCGCGGACGCCAGCGAAAAAAAGAGCAGCCCAUGCCCGCUCACC
rnacentral:sRNA from 1 species